AUAGUCUUGAGGCAGGGAGAGAAGGGGGAGGAGAGAUUAGGCCAAGGUGUUCAGAAUCUGGAGGCCGAGCUAGGAAGAAGAGCGCUGCUGCUUACAUGAGCCAUUGCCACAGCACCACCCGUCCCACUCACCCGCUUGGCAAAGGGAGGCUGCUUUGAUUGCAGCACCAUGUUCGAAGAGCAGCUAGGAUCAAAGGCACUUGCCUUAACACCAAGCCUGUCUGUAUAUCAACUGGCAAGGAGUCCUGUCCUCCCCAGCCCUACCUGGAGAUGCCAGGAAUUGAACCAGGGACCUUUCGCAUUUAAAGCACGCACUCUACCACAGAGCUACAGACUGGGUUGCUAGAGUCUGGAUCACUGCCCCAGUGAUCUCAGCUACCAGCACCUUCCCCCUCUGAUCCAGUGUUCUCUGCUCCUGCUCUAGGUUCCCUUCUGUUUCUGUAGCUCUGCUUCUGUCCCACAAGCCUGUCCUCCCCCCAGUAUUUGCUUUUCUCUGAUCAGAGCCCUUCCUGAGCUAAGCAACAGAUGCUCUGAUGCUGCCCUGGAGUCUGUUGGGCUGGCUGGAAGACCAAAGACUCCGUGAAGAGAUGGCAGACAACCGUCCCAGCCAUGUCAAGCAAGGCUGCACAUGCUGUUAAGAGCCCUGCACACCCCACCCGGCUUAUGAUGAAAGGCAGCUGUUCAUUCAUCUGGGAGAAUUCCAGAUUCUUUCACAGCAUCAGAUAAUGUGGGGGUGGAGAGGGAAGCCACUCCAUUUGUUAAGCCUUUCUCCCCCUAGAAACCUCCUCCCAAUGGAAUAUUCCAAGAGAAGGCUGUGUUUAUCAGGACUGGAAUGAAAGGAAAAGAACAACACUUCCCAGCAUGCUUUGCUGCAUGCUUACGUGAUGCAGGUACUACUCUACUGAUCUCCAUAGCAACCUGGCAGAACGGGCGCUGCCCGGCAACCAUUACCAAGGGGCAGCCAGACCAGGGUCAGAGGAGGACGCCAUUGCAAGUGUUUUGCUGCCCAAGCUCUCCCUGCCACUGAAGUUUCCGCUAAAUAAAGUGUGUAAAUGUUGCAUGCUCCAGAGGUGAUAGCACUGAAGAGAACAAUGCUCAAAGUAGCUGGAACUGAUUUAUCAAUGGACCUGAAAGUUGGAAACCAAGAUUCAAACCCAGCAGGUAGGGCAACUACAGGGCCACCCAGCUAUCUUCCAGUCUAACCUGCCUCCCAGGGAUGAUGCAAAACUCAUAGAGGAAGAGACAGAGCUUUCCCCAGGUGAAGCCAGCCCCUGAAAGCACUCUGUAAAAACAAAGGACCAGGAGCACAGGAAGUUCCUGUUCCAGAAUGUGCACAGGCAACAGAACUGACAUCAUGCUAUGUAUGUAUAGGCAGUGGCAUCCAGAAUGGGCAACAAGAAGACAAAAAAAGUCAGAUAUUGGAGCUAAGGAAAGUGGCAGGAAAGUAUGGGAUAAAAAGUGCUUGGCAUAAGGCCAUGUAGCCUAUUUGGAAAAAACAAAACUAAAGAUGGAGAUGGGGGGAAGCAUUCUGAUCAUGCAAAAUUGCUGCCACAUGUUUUGAAUAUUGUUGUUUGUUGGCACA